AGUGGCGAACGGGUGAGUAACACGUGAGAACCUGCCCCGAAGACCGGGAUAACCCACCGAAAGGUGAGCUAAUACCGGAUACCGUCUCCUGGCGAAAGGAUUCCGCUUUGGGAGGGUCUCGCGGCCUAUCAGCUUGUCGGUGAGGUAACGGCUCACCAAGGCGACGACGGGUAGCUGUUCUGAGAGGAAGAUCAGCCACACUGGGACUGAGACACGGCCCAGACUCCUACGGGAGGCAGCAGUGGGGAAUCUUGCGCAAUGGGCGAAAGCCUGACGCAGCGAUGCCGCGUGCGGGAAGACGGCCUUAGGGUUGUAAACCGCUUUCAGCAGGGACGAAAUUGACGGUACCUGCAGAAGAAGCUCCGGCCAACUACGUGCCAGCAGCCGCGGUAAGGCGUAGGGGGCGAGCGUUGUCCGGAAUUAUUGGGCGUAAAGGGCUCCUAGGUUGUUCAGUAAGUCGACUGUGAAAAUCCAAGGCUCAACCUUGGGACGCCAGUCGAUACUGCUGGACUCGAGUUCGGUAGAGGAGUGUGGAAUUCCUGGUGUAGCGGUGAAUGCGCAGAUAUCAGGAGGAACACCAACGGCGAAUGCAGCACUCUGGGCCGAUACUGACACUGAGAGCGAAGCAUGGGGAGCAAACAGGAAUAGAUACCCUGCUAGUCAAUGCCGA
rnacentral:rRNA from 1 species